CGCCAAUGAAGAAAAGACUGGUAUUAUCCAAUUGAUGAAUCAAUGUGAUUACAUUAUACCACUACUGCCUUCCUUCCGAGGCU